CUUAUACUCAAUCAUACACAUGA
rnacentral:siRNA from 1 species